GACAGAGGGUGCAAACGUUUGUUCGGAAUUACUGGGCGUAAAGCGCGUGUAGGCUGCUUCGCAAGUCGGAUGUGAAAGCCCUGGGCUCAACCCAGGAAGUGCAUUCGAAACUGCAGAGCUGGAGUCCUGGAGAGGAAGGCGGAAUUCUCGGUGUAGAGGUGAAAUUCGUAGAGAUCGGCAGGAACACCCAGGGGGAAACCAGUCGACUGGGCAUCUACUGACGCUGAGGUGCGAGAGCGUGGGGAGCGAACCGG
rnacentral:rRNA from 1 species